rnacentral:rRNA from 1 species
UACGUAGGGUCCGAGCGUUGUCCGGAAUCAUUGGGCGUAAAGAGCUCGUAGGCGGUUUGUUGCGUCGGCUGUGAAAUCCCGAGGCUCAACCUCGGGUCUGCAGUCGAUACGAGCAAACUAGAGUGUUGCAGGGGAGACUGGAAUUCCUGGUGUAGCGGUGAAAUGCGCAGAUAUCAGGAGGAACACCGGUGGCGAAGGCGGGUCUCUGGGCAACAACUGACGCUGGAGGAGCGAAAGCGUGGGGAGCGAACAGG